GAUGAACGCUGGCGGCGUGCCUAAUACAUGCAAGUCGAGCGAACAGACGAGGAGCUUGCUCCUCUGACGUUAGCGGCGGACGGGUGAGUAACACGUGGAUAACCUACCUAUAAGACUGGGAUAACUUCGGGAAACCGGAGCUAAUACCGGAUAAUAUAUUGAACCGCAUGGUUCAAUAGUGAAAGACGGUUUUGCUGUCACUUAUAGAUGGAUCCGCGCCGCAUUAGCUAGUUGGUAAGGUAACGGCUUACCAAGGCAACGAUGCGUAGCCGACCUGAGAGGGUGAUCGCCCACACGGGAACUGAGACACGUCCAGACUCCUACGGGAGGCAGCAGUAGGGAAUCUUCCGCAAUGGGCGAAAGCCUGACGGAGCAACGCCGCGUGAGUGAUGAAGGUCUUCGGAUCGUAAAACUCUGUUAUUAGGGAAGAACAAAUGUGUAAGUAACUAUGCACGUCUUGACGGUACCUAAUCAGAAAGCCACGGCUAACUACGUG
rnacentral:rRNA from 1 species